rnacentral:rRNA from 1 species
UACGUAGGGAGCAAGCGUUGUCCGGAAUCAUUGGGCGUAAAGCGCGCGUAGGUGGCCAUGUAAGUCCGCUGUGAAAGUCAAAGGCUCAACCUUUGAAAGCCGGUGGAUACUGCAUGGCUAGAGUACGGAAGAGGCGAGUGGAAUUCCUGGUGUAGCGGUGGAAUGCGCAGAUAUCAGGAGGAACACCAAUAGCGAAGGCAGCUCGCUGGGACGUUACUGACGCUGAGGCGCGAAAGCGUGGGGAGCGAACAGG